AUGGCAGAAACCGCAGCGAUAGCACCACCACCACAACCAAUGGCACCACCGCAACCAGUGGAGGAAAACGCAACGGCGGCACCGUCACAACCAAUGGCACCACUGCAACCAAUGGCGGAAAGCGCAACUGUCGUUGUGGUGGUGCCACCACCACCGCCAGACGGCACCACGACAUUCCUCUGCCUCAUCCUCGCCUUCUUCAUCCCUCCCCUCGGCGUUUUCCUCAAGUACAAAUGUGAGAUUGAAUUCUGGAUCUGCCUCAUCCUAACAUUCUUGGCCUACGCGCCGGGCAUCAUCUACGCCGUCUGGGUGAUCGUGAAGUAG
rnacentral:rRNA from 1 species